rnacentral:rRNA from 1 species
CAGUAGCCGCGGGAAUACGAAGGGGGCUAGCGUUGUUCGGAUUUACUGGGCGUAAGGGGCGCGUAGGCGGGCUGAUCAGUCAGGGGUGAAAUCCCAAGGCUCAACCUUGGAACUGCCUUUGAUACUGUCGGUCUUGAGUUCGAGAGAGGUAAGUGGAACUGCGAGUGUAGAGGUGAAAUUCGUAGAUAUUCGCAAGAACACCAGUGGCGAAGGCGGCUUACUGGCUCGAAACUGACGCUGAGGCGCGAAAGCGUGGGGAGCAAACAGGAUUAGAUACCCCGGUAGUCCCUGUCUCUUAUAC